GAGGACACAUUAGAAGAGGAAGAGAGAGAGGAAGAGGGAGUGAGGACAGAACAGAGGAGGGGUAUCCUCUAUGACAGAGAAGAGGAAGAAGAGGGAGAGGAAGAGAGAGUGAGGACAGAACAGAGCAGGGGUAUCCUCUAUGACAGAGAAGAGGAAGAGAGAGAGGAAGAGGGAGAGGAAGAGAGAGUGAGGACAGAACAGAGCAGGGGUAUCCUCUAUGACAGAGAAGAGGAAGAGAGAGAGGAAGAGAGAGAGGAAGAGGGAGUGAGGACAGAACAGAGCAGGGGUAUCCUCUAUGACAGAGAAGAGGAAGAGAGAGAGGAAGAGAGAGAGGAAGAGGGAGUGAGGACAGAACAGAGCAGGGGUAUCCUCUAUGACAGAGAAGAGGAAGAGAGAGAGGAAGAGAGAGAGGAAGAGGGAGUGAGGACUGAACAGAGCAGGGGUAUCCUCUAUGACAGAGAAGAGGAAGAGAGAGAGGAAGAGGGUGUGGGGACUGAACAGAGCAGGGGUAUCCUCUAUGACAGAGAAGAGGAAGAGAGAGAGAAAGAGGGAGAGGAAGAGAGAGUGAGGACAGAACAGAGCAGGGGUAUCCUCUAUGACAGAGAAGAGAGAGAGAGUGUGUGUGGGAGGUCAAGAUUGAAAGAGGGAGGGGGAGAAAGAGAGACGGACAGAGAUAGAGCUGCUGGCCAUAAUCACCCCACCCUUGUUCAUUAUAAAGACAGAAAUAGAGAAAGAGAAAGAGAAAGGGAGAGAAAGAGAAAGAGAGAGGGAGAGGGAGAGGGGGAGGGAGAGAGGGAUCCUUUAUCCAUUAUUGAUGAGUGCUGGAAUGUGGGCGGGGAAGAGAGAAAGAUACUGGUAUGGAGAAAGAGAGAGAGAGAGAGGAAGAUACUGGUAUGGAGAAAGAGAGAGAGAGAGAGAGAGAGAGGAAGAUACUGGUAUGGAGAAAGAGAGAGAGAGAGAGGAAGAUACUGGUAUGGAGAAAGAGAGAGAGAGAGAGAGGAAGAUACUGGUAUGGAGAAAGAGAGAGAGAGAGGAAGAUACUGGUAUGGAGAAAGAGAGAGAGAGAGAGGAAGAUACUGGUAUGGAGAAAGAGGGAGAAAGAGAGGGACAGUCAUCCUUCACAGCAGCAGAUCAAGAGAGCAAAAUAAACUCACUUCUUCUCUCCAUUCAUGA
rnacentral:lncRNA from 8 species